UCAGGGGUUAAAGUGGGCCGGAACGAUCCAAAACGGCGUUCCGGCACCUUCGAUUAACAACUUCAUUAUGGUGCA